rnacentral:rRNA from 1 species
UACAGAGGUCUCAAGCGUUGUUCGGAUUCAUUGGGCGUAAAGGGUGCGUAGGCGGCGCGGUAAGUCGGGUGUGAAAUCUUGGAGCUUAACUCCGAAACUGCAUUCGAUACUGCCGUGCUUGAGGACUGGAGAGGAGACUGGAAUUUACGGUGUAGCGGUGAAAUGCGUAGAUAUCGUAAGGAAGACCAGUGGCGAAGGCGGGUCUCUGGACCGGAACUGACGCUGAGGCGCGAAAGCGUGGGGAGCAAACAGG